GGAGUAGAAGUAUCCUUCGAUGCAGGCUGGCAGAAGCGUGGUAGUGGAAGAUCAUACAACAGUUUAUCAGGUCAUGCCUGUAUGAUUGGUACCAAAACAGGCAAGAUUAUCAGCUACGAUGUUAGAAACAAGAGCUGCCGUAUUUGUUAAAAUGCUGCAUUGUCCGAAGAACCUCCACGGCAACAUGACUGCAGGAAAAACUGGGAUGGUAGUGCUAAAGGGAUGGAAUGUGACAUGGCUGUAAGCAUGCUAAAAGACCUUGAGGCCAAGAACAUAAGUGUGGAGACAAUUGUGAUGGACGA